rnacentral:misc_RNA from 1 species
UCUCCGUUGGAGAACCAGCGGAGGGAUCAUUACAGAGUUUUCACAACUCCCAACCCUUGCGAACCGUACCCAUUCUGUUCUCGUUGCUUCCGGCGGGGGGGACGGGGGGGCCCGAAACGGCCUCCCCGCCCCGCCCGCCGGGGGCGGCGGGCCCUACGAACCUUUAUAUCUCAAUCACCAGAAACCGUCUGAGAAAACAAACAAAAUAAUCAAAACUUUCAACAACGGAUCUCUUGGCUCUG